rnacentral:rRNA from 1 species
UGUAAGCGUAUACCAAAGUUGUUGCAGUUAAAACGCUCGUAGUCGGAAUUUGGCAGUUCCGGAUGUGUGCACGUCGUGUGCGCACUUCGCGGGGAUUGCUUUUGUGGGCUUGCGUAGGAUGAGGCACUUUUAUUAGUGAACGUCCUCACGCAACCACUUUUUACUGUGAGAAAAUCAGAGUGCUCAAAGCAGGCAUUUGCCGUGAAUGUAUUAGCAUGGAAUAAUAGAAUAGGACUUGGUUCUAUUUUGUUGGUUUGUUGGGACUGAGUAAUGAUUAAGAGGGACAGUUGGGGGCAUUUGUAUUUCGGUGCUAGAGGUGAAAUUCUUAGAUUACCGAAAGACAAACUGCUGCGAAAGCGUCUGCCAAGGAUGUUUUCAUUGA